rnacentral:rRNA from 1 species
GCGGCAGCUACACAUGCAAGUCGAGCGGUAGCACAGAGAGCUUGCUCUCGGGUGACGAGCGGCGGACGGGUGAGUAAUGUCUGGGAAACUGCCUGAUGGAGGGGGAUAACUACUGGAAACGGUAGCUAAUACCGCAUAAUGUCGCAAGACCAAAGUGGGGGACCUUCGGGCCUCAUGCCAUCAGAUGUGCCCAGAUGGGAUUAGCUAGUAGGUGGGGUAACGGCUCACCUAGGCGACGAUCCCUAGCUGGUCUGAGAGGAUGACCAGCCACACUGGAACUGAGACACGGUCCAGACUCCUACGGGAGGCAGCAGUGGGGAAUAUUGCACAAUGGGCGCAAGCCUGAUGCAGCCAUGCCGCGUGUGUGAAGAAGGCCUUCGGGUUGUAAAGCACUUUCAGCGGGGAGGAAGGCGUUAAGGUUAAUAACCUUGUCGAUUGACGUUACCCGCAGAAGAAGCACCGGCUAACUCCGUGCCAGCAGCCGCGGUAAUACGGAGGGUGCAAGCGUUAAUCGGAAUUACUGGGCGUAAAGCGCACGCAGGCGGUCUGUCAAGUCGGAUGUGAAAUCCCCGGGCUCAACCUGGGAACUGCAUUCGAAACUGGCAGGCUAGAGUCUUGUAGAGGGGGGUAGAAUUCCAGGUGUAGCGGUGAAAUGCGUAGAGAUCUGGAGGAAUACCGGUGGCGAAGGCGGCCCCCUGGACAAAGACUGACGCUCAGGUGCGAAAGCGUGGGGAGCAAACAGGAUUAGAUACCCUGGUAGUCCACGCCGUAAACGAUGUCGAUUUGGAGGUUGUGCCCUUGAGGCGUGGCUUCCGGAGCUAACGCGUUAAAUCGACCGCCUGGGGAGUACGGCCGCAAGGUUAAAACUCAAAUGAAUUGACGGGGGCCCGCACAAGCGGUGGAGCAUGUGGUUUAAUUCGAUGCAACGCGAAGAACCUUACCUGGUCUUGACAUCCACAGAACUUUCCAGAGAUGGAUUGGUGCCUUCGGGAACUGUGAGACAGGUGCUGCAUGGCUGUCGUCAGCUCGUGUUGUGAAAUGUUGGGUUAAGUCCCGCAACGAGCGCAACCCUUAUCCUUUGUUGCCAGCGGUUAGGCCGGGAACUCAAAGGAGACUGCCAGUGAUAAACUGGAGGAAGGUGGGGAUGACGUCAAGUCAUCAUGGCCCUUACGACCAGGGCUACACACGUGCUACAAUGGCAUAUACAAAGAGAAGCGACCUCGCGAGAGCAAGCGGACCUCAUAAAGUAUGUCGUAGUCCGGAUUGGAGUCUGCAACUCGACUCCAUGAAGUCGGAAUCGCUAGUAAUCGUAGAUCAGAAUGCUACGGUGAAUACGUUCCCGGGCCUUGUACACACCGCCCGUCACACCAUGGGAGUGGGUUGCAAAAGAAGUAGGUAGCUUAACCUUCGGAGGCGCUACACUUUGA